AUUUCCUUUAACAAUAGUCCUGUGAGGCUAAGAAGGAGCAUGCACAAAAGUUAAGCUUGGAAUAGGCUAAGACUUUUGUAAAAGAUAGACUAACUGUGCCCUCUUACCUUAAACUAGGUGAGAGGUUUUUUUGU
rnacentral:sRNA from 1 species